CCUCUGGUAGUUUAGCGGUAAAACGCCGCCCGAAUGGCGCGAUGACUGGUUCGAAUCCAGUGUAGAGGG
rnacentral:tRNA from 1 species